CAUUAGGGAGGGAGAAGAUCAUGCUUCAUUUCAGACCUGCUUCUCGGUUCAGGAUUUUGUGAGAUUUGGUAGUUUAAAUUUUUUUUUAUGUCUUAUUUGUCAGCUACACUGACUGGCUCAGCUUGUGUCUGCCCUCUGCCGGCAGGCAUGGGUAACCCAUUGAACCCCAUUUGUGAUGGGGAUUAGGGAUUGCAAUUCUUCCCCUUGAACAAGGAAUUCCCAGUAAAUGCGGGUCAUAAGCUCGCAUUGAUUAAGUACC
rnacentral:ncRNA from 1 species